AACGUAGGUUCCGAGCGUUAUCCGGAUUUACUGGGCGUAAAGCGCGUUCAGGCGGUUUGGCAAGUCGGGCAUGAAAUCUCUCGGCUCAACCGGGAGAGGUUGUCCGAUACUGUUAGACUGGAGGGCAGUAGAGGGUGGUGGAAUUCCGGGUGUAGUGGUGAAAUGCGUAGAGAUCCGGAGGAACACCAGUGGCGAAAGCGGCCACCUGGACUGCACCUGACGCUGAAACGCGAAAGCUAGGGGAGCGAACGGG
rnacentral:rRNA from 1 species